GCGAAAAUGAAAGAGAUUGUGACUGUCCAAGUUGGUGAUUUCGCCAACUUCGUUGGUUCUCACUUCUGGAACUUUCAGGAUGAGUUGCUUAG